ensembl:miRNA gga-mir-1629 gga-mir-1629
GGAUGGCUGUGUUUGCUUUGAAGCUCUGCUGUCGGUGGGUUUGUUCUGCAGGUCCCCAAGGGCAGCCGGGCUCCGUGUGCUGCUCAGCUGACC